UGGGGAAUAUUGGACAAUGGGGGAAACCCUGAUCCAGCCAUGCCGCGUGAGUGAAGAAGGCCUUAGGGUUGUAAAGCUCUUUCGGCGGGGAAGAUGAUGACGGUACCCGCAGAAGAAGCCCCGGCUAACUCCGUGCCAGCAGCCGCGGUAAUACGGAGGGGGCUAGCGUUGUUCGGAAUUACUGGGCGUAACGCGCACGUAGGCGGUUCGGCAAGUCAGAGGUGAAAUCCCCAGGCUCAACCUGGGAAUUGCCUUUGAUACUGUCGGACUAGAGUCCGGGAGAGGGUAGUGGAAUUCCCAGUGUAGAGGUGAAAUUCGUAGAUAUUGGGAAGAACACCGGUGGCGAAGGCGGCUACCUGGACCGGUUCUGACGCUGAGGUGCGAAAGCGUGGGGAGCAAAC
rnacentral:rRNA from 1 species